rnacentral:rRNA from 1 species
UUGGGAAUCUUGCACAAUGGGGGAAACCCUGAUGCAGCGACGCCGCGUGGAGGAUGACGGGUCUAGGCCUGUAAACUCCUUUUAAUGGGAAAGACUUAGGACGGUACCCAUUGAAUAAGGACCGGCUAACUACGUGCCAGCAGCCGCGGUAAGACGUAGGGUCCAAGCGUUGUCCGGAUUUACUGGGCGUAAAGAGCGCGUAGGCGGUCUGUUAAGUGUGAAGUGAAAUCUCCAGGGCUCAACCCGGAAACUGCUUCGCAUACUGGCAGACUGGAGGGAUGCAGAGGUUUGUGGAAUUCCUGGUGUAGCGGUGAAAUGCAUAGAUAUCAGGAGGAACACCCAUGGCGAAGGCAGCAAACUGGGCAUCAUCUGACGCUGAGGCGCGAAAGCGUGGGUAGCAAACAGGAUUAGAUACCCCUGUAGUCC